UUGGUCUCAAAUCUCAAGUCUCUUAAAAAUUGCGUGGUCCGCCUUCCAAGCCCUUAAUGCAUUCAUUGUGACCUCAUUCUCCAUUCAUUCAAAUUUUCUCAUCCCCCACCUGGUCGCCUAGUCCUUCCCAACUUCCCUUUCCCUCUCAAAUCUCCCAAAAAUCUUAUCUUCUCUCAACCUCCUCUCUCGUUAACAUUUAUAACGUUUACUUUUCUCAAACGCCUCAUUUUCCUAAACCCCACAAUUCCUCCUCAGAAGGUUUUUCCAGGUUUAGUUGCAAGUAUGGUGAUGAUGGGGUUGGAGAGGUUGCUGGUGAAUCUAAAAUCAAAGUUGAGGUGUCUGAAAAUGAAGAAGCCUUACGAUAAGAUCGAAAAGAGUGAGAGCAUGAGAGUGGAAAUUAGGAGCAGGAAGGCCCGGAAGCUCAUAGAAGAGACCCUCAAAGUUGCAGACUCUCCCAAGACCAAAAGCUAUGCUUUCUGAUCAUCACUGUGCUUUCAUCAAUUAUUACGAGGCACUGGCUUAUAAUUUUCCUUUUUUCUCUUUUUCUUUUCCUCUUAGUCUCCGCCAUAUAUGAAUAAUCAUAUGAUAUGGUGGCUUUUCUUCUGUUUUCACUUGUCACAUGACCCUUCUCUUUCUCUGUCUCACUCACAACCGUCCAUAUAUGUAAGUUCCAGAUCAUGAACACAUGGUUUAUAUUCUUACAGGUCGUCUGGCUCCUCUGGAUUUUGUUUGUUU